rnacentral:rRNA from 1 species
GUGGGGAAUUGUUCGCAAUGGGCGCAAGCCUGACGACGCAACGCCGCGUGGAGGAUGAAGAUCUUCGGGUCGUAAACUCCUUUCGAUCGAGACGAACGGCCCCUGGGUUAACAGCCUGGGGGAGUGACGGUACCGAGAGAAGAAGCCCCGGCUAACUCCGUGCCAGCAGCCGCGGUAAUACGGGGGGGGCAAGCGUUGUUCGGAAUUACUGGGCGUAAAGGGCUCGUAGGCGGCCAACUAAGUCAUGCGUGAAAUCCCUCGGCUUAACCGGGGAACUGCGUCUGAUACUGGAUGGCUUGAGUUCGGGAGAGGGAUGCGGAAUUCCAGGUGUAGCGGUGAAAUGCGUAGAUAUCUGGAGGAACACCGGUGGCGAAGGCGGCAUCCUGGACCGAUACUGACGCUGAGGAGCGAAAGCCAGGGGAGCAAACGGGAUUAGAUACCCUUGUAGUCC